AGCAGCCGCGGUAAUUCCAGCUCCAAUAGCGUAUAUUAAAGUUGUUGCAGUUAAAAGCUCGUAGUUGAAUUUCGAGAUCAAAUUGUUGGUCGUGCCUUGGUACGCACUGGCAUUAUUGGUUUCUCCCUUCUGACGAACCAUGAUGUCAUUAAUUUGGUGUCUUGGGGAAUCAGGACUGUUACUUUGAAAAAUUGAGUGUUUAAAGCAGGCUCACGCUUGAAUACAUUAGCAUGGAAUAAUGAAAUAGGACGUUUGAUUCUAUUUUGUUGGUUUCUAGGAUCGACGUAAUGAUUAAUAGGGAUAGUUGGGGGCAUUAGUAUUCAAUUGUCAGAGGUGAAAUUCUUGGAUUUAUUGAAGACUAACUACUGCGAAAGCAUUUGCCAAGGAUGUUUUCAUUAAUCAAGAACGAAAGUUAGGGGAUCGAAGACGAUCAGAUACCGUCGUAGUCUUAACCAUAAACUAUGCCGACUAGGGAUCGGAU
rnacentral:misc_RNA from 1 species